AUUGAACGCUGGCGGCAUGCCUUACACAUGCAGGUCGAACGGCAGCACGGGAGCAAUCCUGGUGGCGAGUGGCGAACGGGUGAGUAAAGUAUCAGAACGUGCCCAGUCGUGGGGGAUAACGUAGCGAAAGUUACGCUAAUACCGCAUACGAUCUAUGGAUGAAAGCGGGGGAUCGCAAGACCUCGCGCGAUUGGAGCGGGCGAUAUCAGAUUAGGUAGUUGGUGGGGUAAAGGCUCACCAAGCCGACGAUCUGUAGCUGGUCUGAGAGGACGACCAGCCACACGGGGACUGAGGCACGGCCCAGACUCCUACGGGAGGCAGCAGUGGGGAAUUUUGGACAAUGGGCGCAAGCCUGAUCCAGCCAUGCCGCGUGCAGGAUGAAGGCCUUCGGGUUGUAAGCUGCUUUUGUACGGAACGAAAAGGUUUGGCCUAAUAAGCUGAGCUCAUGACGGUACCGUAAGAAUAAGCACCGGCUAACUACGUGCCAGCCGCCGCGUAA
rnacentral:rRNA from 1 species